GCUUGCCAACUAGUUAGUUAUUCUUGAAUUGUUUUAUGCAUACAUUUAUUAAUAUUCCUUAUUGAAAUUAUUCUGCAGGUUGGAGUAUGAGCAAAAUCAGGACAUAAGUUCACGAAUUCAAGAAUUGGAAUCUUCUGUAAGUGCUUUAGAGAAUGAUUUAAAACGGGUACAGACAAAGAGGCUGAAGCAAAGUCAGCAGGAGAGGAAGUUACUGAAGAGAUCAAUCAGUUAAAAGAUGAAGUUAAAGUGGAAAUCAAAGUUAGAGGAUUGUGAAGAGGAAACCCAGGAAUGGAAGAAGGCUUCGGAAGCCAAUACAAACUUGGAAAACUUAAUCGUGGUUAGAUGAGUGAAAUUUCUUUGCCCACAUACUUUCAUACCUGCAUAGAUAGCCAACAUCUUUAGUGUUGUUACAAGAGGCACAGAUUGAGAAGUUGUUAUAGGAGGCUCUGCUUGAAAAAGAAGGAGCUGUAACUGAAGAGUUUGAAGCUGACAGGAAAUUAACUCUAUAUUGGCAAGCCCACGCCAUGAAAUUGUGAUGUGACCUACUUUAAAUAGCCAGCCUGUGACAGCUCUGGCACAAUAGUGCGACUAUAGGGAACUUUAAUAAUAUGUUUGCUUAUUGUUUAGUGAGGUAGUAGUAGUUUAUUACUUGCUUUAAGCUUCCUGGCUCUCAAGCAAUGUUAUCACAUAUCGUUCAUGAUUGUGUCAUGGCGGAUUGAGGUGCCGGAUUUUUUUACGAUUGCCAUUGCCAAUUUGUGAAGGACGGUGGUGCCAUGGCGCUUUAUGCCGGCUUUCUAUCGCGGGCUCUUUGCUUCCCAUCACACUCCACCAUAAGACAUUGAUAAUUGAAACUUUUUAUGUGUUGAUUUUCUCUAGGGGUGAGAAUAGGUUCGGGAUGAGCAAGACUUUGCUUAGAUAGUCCUUGCCUGUAAAAAGAAUGUAAGGUCUAACCGUAGGUUUUAUUUCAAGCAUGAUUUUUGACCUGUUUUGAAUGAACAAUGCUUUAGUC
rnacentral:lncRNA from 1 species